CCCUAUGGGGUGCACCAGGCUGGCAAAAAAAGCGCCGAUGUAAAAUUGCCCCUCCGCCCCGAUGUUCCACAGGUGCAUCCUGAAAGCCACACUGCAGCCCAGGCCAAUCAGGAUUAGCGGGGUGGCCUUCACAACCACAUCCGAAAACGCGCCCCAGGAGCCGAACGCGGCCCUAAAGAAGUACUGGUAAAUGCGUAAGGGGUCGGCUUUCAUCAAAGCCAAAACGAUGCCGCCGAACACAAACGCGACCACCACGGCCACCAGCGAUGUGACCGCCGGCAGCCAUUUGGGUGUUUCCUCGGUGCGUUUCACCAAUUGCAGAGAAUAAGGCGGCCUCAUGGUCUGCCUCCUUUAUUCCAGUCUGGCCCGCGCACUUUGCGCAAAAUUCUUUCUUUUUCAGUCUCCGGCGGGAGGGC
rnacentral:rRNA from 1 species